UACGGGGGGGGCAAGCGUUGUUCGGAAUUACUGGGCGUAAAGGGCUCGUAGGCGGCCAACUAAGUCAGACGUGAAAUCCCCAGGCUCAACCUGGGAACUGCGUCUGAUACUGGAUGGCUUGAAUCCGGGAGAGGGAUGCAGAAUUCCAGGUGUAGCGGUGAAAUGCGUAGAUAUCUGGAGGAACACCAAUGGCGAAGGCAGCUCGCUGGGACGUUACUGACGCUGAGACGCGAAAGCGUGGGGAGCAAACAGG
rnacentral:rRNA from 1 species